GCAGCAACUAGGAAAGACUGUAUUAGAGUAGUUUUCAGAAGUGACACACCUAGGAAGUAUGCCUGUAAAUAUAUUGAAAGAGGGAUAUGGAAUUACAAAAGCCCUGAAGGAAUUGAGGAAAAAGUAAGUGAGGAGUGGAGAGUUAAGUGGAGCAGAAUUCCAAAAUCAUUAAUUUGCCUGGUUUUAGAUGUUCUGCAAUAAUUAUCCUUCAGACUUCACUGGAGAAUAGUGUUAGGAACCCCACUUCAUUCUGGUACUCAAACAACCACUUAACUCUUGUGGAGUGCUUUGUUUUUAACUGGUGACUUGCUGCAAGUGAUGCAGCCCUGGAAACAAGUCACACUGCAUGAGAUGGACAGAACUUGAAGAGCCAUGGUUAGUUUGUAAAACAAAAUAUCAAGUUACUGCAUUUUAAAAUAACUGAGGAAAAGGGCAAGGUAGUGAACUGCUCUAAGUGAAAAGGUGUUAGUAAAAAUUGUGUUAACAUGCAGAUCAGGAAAGAGACCGAGAAAUUGCCAUACUGGAUGAUAUCAGUCUCCCCUCUAAUUUCAUUAUCUGUUAGUGGACAGUACCAGCUACUUCAGAUGAAGUUGCAAGUAACUCCUUACUAGACAAUUAUAAUAAAAUAACCUGCCAUUACAGGAAGCAUCAUCUUAGCCCUCUACAGAGGAGGAUGUUUUAUGCUUUGAAGCAAGUGUUGCAUCCCUUCCAAAAUUACUUUGGAUGUUCUUGUUAUAUCAAUACCCAUCCUGUUUUUGAAUCCUACUCCAUUCUUGGCCUUCCUAUAGUGGCAAUGAGUUUCACAGGCUAAUUGUGCAUCAUUAAAAAUUUCCCAUAUUUUCUAGUUUUACUAGAAUGUUGAAUGUGUAAUACCUUUAGCUUUUCAGUCUCUGACUUGUAUUCCAUGUUAUAAAAAUUGAACAUCAGUCUGAGCCAGCUGGCUACAGUUUGUCUCCCUGUGCUAAUCUUUCUAGUAAUAAACUGAGAAUGUAGUCUAGUGUCCGUGGCCUGGAAUGCAUUGAGAUUUGGCGUGCUAAAACACUGAGGAAUUUGUGUUUUUUUGCUCUGAGGAUUUGUCAGGAAUUGUAGAUGGGAAUACUCCUGACUAAUGCCUUAACACCUUUUUUUUUUACAUAUACCCACCAAUUCUGUUUCUUAUUAUAGUUGAUUAAAAUAAUCCUCCAAAGAAACUGAAUUACAAUUUAAUACCAAAAAAAGAACAGGAGUACUUGUGGCACCUUAGAGACUAACAAAUUUAAUACCACAUCAUCUAGACUGAUUUAUAUCUUAUUGAUUUAAUUGCCUUUGUUUACCAUGGCAUUGUUGUGUGGUGGUGGUCAGUGUUGCUACAGUUAAGGGUGAAAUGGCAAUACAAGAUGUGCAAGAAGUAGUAAAGUUGAAGACUUUAUCAAGUUACAAUAAUCAACUAAAGUUAAUGCUUCCCUUUAAUCUGAAGCCUCAACUCCAGGAAGCUGUUUCCAAGAGGCAUUUUGCUUAGGUUGGCAUUUUGACCAUAGCUCAGAUGGGAAUUGGAUCUGUGUUUUUUCAUGUGAUUAGCUGCGUACUGUAUCUGCCAGUCACAGCUGGUAGUAUAUCAUUGUAUAGGUAGAAUUUUUCAACUUCUUUUGGAAUUAAUAAUUUACAGAAGUCCUUACCUUGAUAGUCUCAUUUUUGCCAAUUCGGAUAUUUGCAGGGCUUUUAGAUAUGUAUGGUUUGAUUUAUUUUGUUACACUAUUUUAUGAGAUUGUGUAUAUCUUUUAAUUGGUGGUAUCGGGUGUGAAACUGAGAUUUUCUGUUAUGGAAUUUGCAUAUUAAGUUAUUGCCAGGAUAACAGAAAGCCAGGCAUUUACCUUGUUUUGGAUGCUAAAUUGGCCUCAGCCUUUGAGAUAAGUGGCUUCUAUAUUCUGCAUGUCCUACAAUGACAAAUGUAUGCUCUUUAGUUUCACUUCUAUUUAGCCAAAUAGACAAUCAUGAUUUAAUAUUAAGUAAAAUGCAUAAAAUUCUGUAAAUGCCAAACACUCUGCUAUAUUCUCUUUCAUGAGUUUCAAGAGACAAUGAAAUAGUGACUAAGACUAUUCUUUGUUUCUUUAUCCUUGACUCCUUGUGAUCAGACAUUGAUUGAUUCUGCCAGGUAGAACCUAAAGUGAAGUUAGAAGUAACUGUAAGGGUUCUCUUGCUUCAGUGUUGAAAUACUAAUUUUUUGUGUCCAAGACCAAUAGACCCUUUAACCAGGGUCUGAAGUAUGGUA